rnacentral:rRNA from 1 species
GACGAACGCUGGCGGCGUGCUUAACACAUGCAAGUCGUACGGUAAGGCCCUUUCGGGGGUACACGAGUGGCGAACGGGUGAGUAACACGUGAGUAACCCGCCCACAACUUUGGGAUAACGCUAGGAAACUGGUGCUAAUACUGGAUAUGUGCUCCUGCUGCAUGGUGGGGGUUGGAAAGCUCCGGCGGUUGUGGAUGGACUCGCGGCCUAUCAGCUUGUUGGUGGGGUAGUGGCCUACCAAGGCGGCGACGGGUAGCCGGCCUGAGAAGGUGACCGGCCACAUUGGGACUGAGAUACGGCCCAGACUCCUACGGGAGGCAGCAGUGGGGAAUAUUGCACAAUGGGCGCAAGCCUGAUGCAGCAACGCCGCGUGCGGGAUGACGGCCUUCGGGUUGUAAACCGCUUUCAGCAGGGACGAAGCUUUUUGUGACGGUACCUGCAGAAGAAGCACCGGCUAACUACGUG